CUGUGAGCUUAACUUCUGUGGCUGGUAAAAUAUUUGAAAAGUUAUUAAGGGAUAAUAUUCAAGAAUUCCUUGAGAAGAACAUGGUUAUCAGCAAAAACCAGCAUGGUUUUAUGAAGCACAGGUCAUGUCAAACUAACUUGAUUGCGUUCUACGAAGAAGUAAGUAGAAGUAUAGAUCAGGGUGUUGCCGUGGAUGUGAUCUAUUAGGAUUUUGCCAAGGCAUUUGAUACAGUUCCACACAAUAGAUUAGUGUUCAAACUCAAGGAAAUCGGUAUAGAUGAAAAUGCUUGUUCUUGGGUAGAACAUUGGCUUAAAAACAGAGUACAAAGAGUUAUCAUUAAUGGUAAAUUUUCAAGCUGGACAAAGGUAGCAAGUGGUGUCCCUCAGGGGUCUGUUCUUGAAGACCGCAUUGAAAGUCAUGUUUCAGUGUUUGCAGAUGACACCAAACUUUGUAAAACAAUACAAUGUGAGCAAGAUAUUACUUUGCUGCAGAGGGAUUUAGAUAGACUGGGGGACUAGGCACUCAAAUGGCAGAUGAAAUUUAAUGUUGAAAAAUGCAAAGUUAUGCACUUCGGCGUAAAGAAUACACAAGCAACGUAUACCCUUAAUGGAAGCGAAUUAGGGAUAACAACACAUGAAAAGGACUUGGGAAUUGUUAUAGACAACAAACUAUGCAACAAUGUGAUAUGUCAAUCAGCAGUGGCCAAGGCAAGUAAGGUAUUGUCAUGCAUGAAAAAGGGCAUUCAUUCUCGGGACAAGAAUAUAAUUUUGCCUCUUUAUAAAUCACUGGUAAGAUCCCAUAUUGAAUAUGCUGUGCAAUUUUGGGCACCUGUUCUAAAGAAGGAUAUUAUGGCACUAGAAAAAGUGCAGAGGCGGGCUACAAAAUUAAUAAAAGGAAUGGAACAUAUCGGCUAUGAAGAAAGGUUAACAAAUUUAAAACUAUUUAGUUUAGAAAAACGUCGCCUGAGAGGGGAUAUGAUAACAUUAUACAAACCAUUGUGUGGAAAUCUAUUCACAAACCGGACUUUACAUAGGACACAAGGCCAUGCGUUUAGACUGGAAGACAGAAGAUUUUGUCUAAGGCAAAGGAAAGGUUUUUUUACUGUAAGAGUGGAAUUCUUUGCCUGAAGAAGUGGUUUUAUCAGAGUCCAUACAGAUGCUCAAACGGCUACUAGAUGCAUACUUGCAAGAACAGAAUAUUCAAGGAUAUAAUCUUUCAAUGUAGGGUAAUAACUGCUUGAUCCAAGGAUAAAUCUGACUGCCAUUCUGGGGUCAAGAAGGAAUUUUUUUCCUAGCUUGUUGCAAAAUUGUGCUUCAAACUGGGUUUUUUUGCCUUCUUUUGGAUCAACAGCAAAAAACAAAUAUGAGGAAGGCUGAACUUGAUGGACGUAAGUCUCUUCUCAGCUACGUAACUAUGUAACUAUGUAACUAUGUAAUGCAUUCGGCAUUUGCCCUUUUGUUUUGUUAAUAUUUCGUAUGUAGGGCUUUUGUUUAAGUUUUAGUAAACGAAUACGAAAAAACCUGAAUUUUCAGAUGAAAUUGUAUUCGGACAUAAACGAAUGCACAUGUCUACCACAUACUCCCAAUAACAAUGGAAAAGAUCUGUUCCAUCUGACCCACACUUCAGUUAGCUAAAUCCCUCAUGUUUAGAUAAAACUAAAUUUGAGUAGAAUCGUAUGCAUGGUGUGCAAUUUUUAAAAUGCAUCUCCUGAUAAUAGGAGGAUAGAAGUAGUUUGAGUAAUGUGAAAGUGGUUGCUAUGAGCACCUUGGGGGUCAAUUUGAGGAUAGACAGUCCAUCGAGAUAAGACUAAUUGUGUUGUUGAGUAAUCUAAGUGAGGCCAAAUUAGGUAACAGAGGGAACCAAUGGAGUAAGAAUAGUGGUUUGUGCAAGUAAAUGAUCAAUCCAUAGUGCUGAAAUACGGAUGAAUUGAGCAUAUCAGGAUAUAAAUCUGGAGGUAAGCAAAGAAAGGAAUGUUGAGGCCAGAAAAUUUAAGAAUCAACUUAUUGUGGUCAUCCAGGAAAUUGUGUAUUGUGAAGCCCCCCCAGAAACAGUAGGGAUGUUGGGCUUCCCUGUCCAGAAAAUAUAGGAUACUUAAAGAUGGUAAUAGAUUUGAGUGUUCCUUUGAACUUACUUAACUACACCUGAAAGGUGUGUCGCAUUCCCAGUUUAUAUAAUAAAAACCUAUACAAGAAAAUCUGAAUUUUUGUGCAUUACUAUCCUCUUUACUGGGGACACAAACUAAUCCGUAGCCAUACAGCCCUUUAUUUCACAUUUUCUUACACAUUUCACUCCUUGGUUAAAGCUGACAUAUGCAAGAAAAUAUUAUAUUGUAAAGGGAAUACUUAACAACGUGGAUUACAGAAGUUAUCAUAACAUGGUUAGAUAGAGUCUAUAUGGUGGUUCAGUGCUCCAGUAGUAUUAGAUGAGGGUAGGCAGCUCAAA